ACGAUCUUACUUGAACAGGGUAUGUUCUAUAGGAUUGUAUUACUGUGCCCUUGAUUUCUAAGGAGACAGGAACAAAAAAAGAGAAAAUACCAUAUAAUUGAUCGAUU
rnacentral:snoRNA from 1 species